AGUUCCACCUCUGGAGAUGAACUCUUGCAAUCACUUCAUCUUACCAGCCUUGUGCUGUGAAGAGAAAAGUAGAGGGCCAUCUUUACACCUGUAGCAUCAUGAUGGUUGCUGGCAUCCAUCAGUGUUAGAGAGAAGGAACAGACUCUUCCAGCUGGUCCUGUAGGGAUAGCCCUUCAAUUGUACACUCAUAUCUGAUAAAACUGCCAGCUUUGCCUUUGAGAUUUCAUUCCUAGAACUGGUUCAGAAUAUAAAUGCUAAGCCAUCAUACAGACACAGACUUUCAUGGCAAAGAGAAGUAACAGCAACUUUUGUCUGUCAAGAAGCUUAGCCAUGAUUUCCUCCAUCAGGCUCCUCAUCUUUGCUAUUUCAUUGGUUCCCUUGAUGACAACUUUUCCUGAGGUCGUAUGCAGACUUACUGUAAAGCAGUGAUCUCAUCAUACUUUUUAAGCUUCUGGUUAAAAAUAGAAUAUCUCCUGUAAUUCCCAAGGAAAAUCAGUUCUGUAAAAUCUCAUUGUUAAUUCAUAAAGGGCGCUUGGCUGUGCAAACAGAAGAGCGUGGAAUCCAAUGGGUGUUUCCAAAGUUAUAAUUUCUUACAGGAGUUUAAUACAUCAUCUUUGUCAACUGUGUGGGCAUGAACCAGGUAAACUUCACCAAAUGGAGAUAGAUAAAUAUGAUUUUGCACGAAUUAGAGCAACAUUUGCAAAAAGCUCUCGGCAGAAUAUUUCAUUCGUAUUUGGUUCCAGCGUCUUGUGUUUUUCUUCAAAAUUGAGAAGAGAAGGGUUUCUACCACUCAUUGUGCAAAUGUGUUCUAUGCUUUAAAGCGGAGGGAGCAUAAGUUGUUAUUAUGAUAAUGUUAAUAACACUUUUCAUGUACUACAUUUUGGUUGACAUUUCAUCUUAAUUGAGAAAAAUCUAAAAUUAAUCUUUGUAAGAAACAGGACCAGAGUGGCUAAUCAGGUUUGGA